CGUCCACCCAAGAUACAGCAGCAGCACGUACGACAGCGACAUCGCGCUCGUCCACAUCGCAGACAAGGUCAGCUUCACCAACUGGCCUGGCAUCAAGCCCGUGUGCAUGCCUCCUCCGACCUCGGAUUAUGCUGGCAGGGAUGCCACGGUCACCGGCUGGGGCACCACGUCCUCAGGUGGCACGCAGCCAGAG